rnacentral:rRNA from 1 species
AUUGAACGCUGGCGGAAUGCUUUACACAUGCAAGUCGAACGGCAGCACGGGUGCUUGCACCUGGUGGCGAGUGGCGAACGGGUGAGUAACAUAUCGGAACGUGCCCAGUAAUGGGGGAUAACUAACCGAAAGGUUAGCUAAUACCGCAUACGCCCUGAGGGGGAAAGCGGGGGAUCGAAAGACCUCGCGUUAUUGGAGCGGCCGAUAUCUGAUUAGCUAGUUGGUAGGGUAAAGGCCUACCAAGGCGACGGUCAGUAGCUGGUCUGAGAGGAUGAUCAGCCACACUGGGACUGAGACACGGCCCAGACUCCUACGGGAGGCAGCAGUGGGGAAUUUUGGACAAUGGGCGAAAGCCUGAUCCAGCCAUUCCGCGUGAGUGAAGAAGGCCUUCGGGUUGUAAAGCUCUUUCGGCAGGAACGAAACGGCGCUCCCUAAUACGGGGCGCUAAUGACGGUACCUGAAGAAGAAGCACCGGCUAACUCCGUGCCAGCCGCCGCAGUAA